UUUACUAAACUAUUAUGCUAUCAGUUAGUGUUCAUUGAUUCUAUAUUUGGUGGACUUAUGUUCGUGCUCUUUGUCAAUGUAGAGACCUCAGUUUCAAUCACUUGAGUGGUGAAAUUCCAACAUCUUUUGUCCAACUAGCUAAAGUAGAUUUCAUGUAUUUGACGGGGAACCAACUUGCUGGACAAAUACCUGGAUGGAUCCUUUCAAGAAACAAGAAUGUGGGUAUUUCUUAUAACAAUUUCACUUGGGAAAGCUCAAGUUCAGUUGAAUGUCCUCGAGGGAGUGUAAAUUUGGUUGAGACCUACUCUGCCGCCUCCACCAACAAAUUGUAAGAUUCUUGUGCCUGUAUUUUGUAUUAAUGUAUUUUGAGAAGAUUGCCAUGUUUCUUUUCCUCUUUGGUGGGUGUUGCUUUUUGUUUAUGAAUAAUAGCUCCAAACAUUGCCUUUUCAUUUCUGAACUAUAAGCAGGCUACUACUAAUGCUUGCAUUCCUUUCCUUAUAUACUGCAGAAGUAGAGUUCAUCCAUGCCUCAAGAAAAACUACCCAUGUUCUGCUAUGGGUAAUCAAUAUUAUUCCUUGCACAUUAACUGUGGUGGCAAGGAGGCAAUCUUCAAUAACAGCAAGUAUGAAGCUGAUUUAGAAGUGAGAGGUGCUUCAAUGUUUUACUCAGGACAGAACUGGGCAUUUAGCAUCACUGGGAACUUCAUGGAUAAUGAUCUUGAGGCUGAUGUUUACAUUGACGCUAACACUUCUACUCUGCAUAAUGUCUCUGCUAGUGAUUCAGAACUGUAUACAACAGCACGUGUAUCGCCCCUCUCUCACAUUCAUCUCAUUUUUGUUUUGAUGUGCAGGACACUCAAAACCUUGUCGUGGAAAGACGGGAAGAACAACCAGUGAAUUCUGUCUCCAUGAACGCUUUUGAAUGCUUAUAUCUAAAUCCUAGGGUCUCAACCUCAGUUCUCUAUUUGAAAAGCAAAUGUUAUGUCAAAGGCAUAUAGUUUUUUGAUUGUUAUGUUUUGGUAGCCGAGCUAUCAGAUGUAGAGAUUUUUAGAAUCUGAGCAUUCCAUUCAUUUUUGUCAGUGAAGUUAGAGUUCCUAUCUCAUAUCAUGAAUGAACCAGCUGAUAUUUAGUUAUUGCUCACCUAAAUAUGCUAAUUCAAGUAACUCAAUAUUUUGGUUUUUAUUUUUUGUGCUUUUGUUUUUCUUCUCUUUUUAGUUUCUAAUGAUAGCAAUUGAUUUUUGUUUGGCAGGUGAAACGAUGACAAUCCUUCUCAGCGAUAAAUGUACUAAGUUAUUGUAUGAACAGUACAAUGUCAUUGACACUGAGUUGCUAUGGCAUCUAAUUGUUAACAGGGAAGUUACUUUCAAAAGGAUUAAGAUCAAGUAGAAAUGAUUAAUGUUCCUAUUUUGGUUUGUUGAAUUAAGUUUUUAGUUUAUUCAUAUGCAUCAACGAUUUCUGGAUUAAUUUGUGUUUUCAUUUUUCAGGUCAGAAAUUUUUUGGAGAGAUGCAAAAUAUGGUCCAAGAAUU